GAUGAACGCUGGCGGCGUGCCUAAUACAUGCAAGUCGAGCGAACAGACGAGGAGCUUGCUCCUCUGACGUUAGCGGCGGACGGGUGAGUAACACGUGGAUAACCUACCUAUAAGACUGGGAUAACUUCGGGAAACCGGAGCUAAUACCGGAUAAUAUAUUGAACCGCAUGGUUCAAUAGUUAAAGACGGUUUUGCUGUCACUUAUAGCUUGAUCCGCGCCGCAUUAGCUAGUUGGUAAGGUAACGGCUUACCAAGGCGACGAUGCGUAGCCGACCUGAGAGGGUGAUCGGCCACACUGGAACUGAGACACGGUCCAGACUCCUACGGGAGGCAGCAGUAGGGAAUCUUCCGCAAUGGGCGAAAGCCUGACGGAGCAACGCCGCGUGAGUGAUGAAGGUCUUCGGAUCGUAAAACUCUGUUAUUAGGGAAGAACAAAUGUGUAAGUAACUAUGCACGUCUUGACGGUACCUAAUCAGAAAGCCACGGCUAACUACGUG
rnacentral:rRNA from 1 species